rnacentral:rRNA from 1 species
GAUGAACGCUGGCUACAGGCUUAACACAUGCAAGUCGAGGGGAAACGACGGGGAAGCUUGCUUCCCCGGGCGUCGACCGGCGCACGGGUGAGUAACGCGUAUCCAACCUGCCUCUGACUGAGGGAUAACCCGUCGAAAGUCGGCCUAAUACCUCAUGGCAUCGUCUGCGGGCAUCCAACGACGAUUAAAGAUUUCAUCGGUCAGGGAUGGGGAUGCGUCUGAUUAGCUUGUUGGCGGGGUAACGGCCCACCAAGGCUACGAUCAGUAGGGGUUCUGAGAGGAGGGUCCCCCACAUUGGAACUGGGACACGGUCCAAACCCCUAGGGGGGGAAGCAGUGGGGAAUAUUGGGCAAGGGGGGGGGCCCUAAACCCGCAAAGGGGCGGGAGGGAUGCCGGCCCUGUGGGUUUUAAACUGCUUUUUGGGGGGGAUAAAGUGGGGGACGGGGCCUUCAUGGCAGGUACCGAAGAAAAAAGGACCGGCUAAUUCCGU